rnacentral:rRNA from 1 species
UACGGAGGGUGCAAGCGUUGUCCGGAAUCACUGGGCGUAAAGGGCUCGUAGGCGGCCCGGUAAGUAGGGGGUGAAAUCCUGCGGCUUAACCGCAGGGCUGCCUUCUAAACUGUCGGGCUCGAGCACGGUAGAGGCAGAUGGAAUUCCCGGUGUAGCGGUGGAAUGCGUAGAGAUCGGGAAGAACAUCAGUGGCGAAGGCGGUCUGCUGGGCCGUUGCUGACGCUGAGGCGCGACAGCGUGGGGAGCAAACAGG